CAGGAAUGGGAAAACACACCUUGAAAGAAUGUAAUUUUGGACUCUUGCUGUACAAGGAAAUAUCUUCUUGACAGAUUUGUCUUUACAGGGACCCUGAACCAUGCCGAGGCUGGACCCCGUCAGUGUGGUGCUCUGGUGUUGUCUGAAGCUGGCUACCAGGAGGAAUACUCAAGUUGAACAAUUACAUAUGUACAAUCACUACAUGUUUAGUGGUGAUGCAGGAAGCUUUGGAAAACCUUUGUUCACCCAAACCCCAAGCACCCUGGGAGAGCGAUACGGCCGUCUGGGAAAA